CAGCACCUCAAGUGGUCAGGAUGAUUAUUGGGCCUAAAGCAUCCGUAGCCGGCUCUGUAAGUUUUCGGUUAAAUCUGUAUGCUCAACAUACAGGCUGCCGGGAAUACUGCAGAGCUAGGGAGUGGGAGAGGUAGACGGUAUUCGGUAGGAAGGGGUAAAAUCCUUUGAUCUAUUGAUGACCACCUGUGGCGAAGGCGGUCUACCAGAACACGUCCGACGGUGAGGGAUGAAAGCUGGGGGAGCAAACCGGAUUAGAUACCCGAGUAGUCC
rnacentral:rRNA from 1 species